rnacentral:rRNA from 1 species
UACGUAGGGUGCAAGCGUUGUCCGGAAUUAUUGGGCGUAAAGAGCUCGUAGGCGGCUUGUCGCGUCUGCUGUGAAAACCAGAGGCUCAACCUCUGGCCUGCAGUGGGUACGGGCAAGCUAGAGUGCGGUAGGGGAGAUUGGAAUUCCUGGUGUAGCGGUGAAAUGCGCAGAUAUCAGGAGGAACACCGGUGGCGAAGGCGGGUCUCUGGGCAGUAACUGACGCUGAGGAGCGAAAGCGUGGGGAGCGAACAGG